GGAAUUUUGGACAAUGGGCGCAAGCCUGAUCCAGCCAUGCCGCGUGCGGGAAGAAGGCCUUCGGGUUGUAAACCGCUUUUAGCCGGGAAGAAAAGGGCGGGGCUAAUACCUCCGACUUUUGACGGUACCGGCGGAAUAAGCACCGGCUAACUACGUGCCAGCAGCCGCGGUAAUACGUAGGGUGCGAGCGUUAAUCGGAAUUACUGGGCGUAAAGCGUGCGCAGGCGGCGCGUCGUGUCCUGUGUGAAAGCCCCGGGCUCAACCUGGGAAUGGCAUGGGAAACUGGCGCGCUGGAGUGCGGCAGAGGGGGGUGGAAUUCCGCGUGUAGCAGUGAAAUGCGUAGAGAUGCGGAGGAACACCGAUGGCGAAGGCAGCCCCCUGGGUCGACACUGACGCUCAGGCACGAAAGCGUGGGGAGCAAA
rnacentral:rRNA from 1 species